rnacentral:rRNA from 1 species
CCUACGGGAGGCUGCAGUGGGGAAUAUUGGACAAUGGGCGAAAGCCUGAUCCAGCCAUGCCGCGUGUGUGAAGAAGGCCUUCGGGUUGUAAAGCACUUUCAGUGGGGAAGAAAGCCUUGGGGCUAAUACCCUCGAGGAAGGACAUCACCCACAGAAGAAGCACCGGCUAACUCCGUGCCAGCAGCCGCGGUAAUACGGAGGGUGCGAGCGUUAAUCGGAAUUACUGGGCGUAAAGCGCGCGUAGGCGGUCUGAUAAGCCGGUUGUGAAAGCCCCGGGCUCAACCUGGGAACGGCAUCCGGAACUGUCAGGCUAGAGUGCAGGAGAGGAAGGUAGAAUUCCCGGUGUAGCGGUGAAAUGCGUAGAGAUCGGGAGGAAUACCAGUGGCGAAGGCGGUCUUCUGGACUGACACUGACGCUGAGGUGCGAAAGCGUGGGUAGCAAACAGGAUUAGAUACCCUUGUAGUC